rnacentral:rRNA from 1 species
GACGAACGCUGGCGGCGUGCUUAACACAUGCAAGUCGAACGGAAAGGCCCUGCUUUUGUGGGGUGCUCGAGUGGCGAACGGGUGAGUAACACGUGAGUAACCUGCCCUUGACUUUGUGAUAACUUCAGGAAACUGGGGCUAAUACCGGAUAGGAGCUCCUGCUGCAUGGUGGGCGUUGGAAAGUUUCGGCGGUUGGGGAUGGACUCGCGGCUUAUCAGCUUGUUGGUUGGGUAGUUGCUUACCAAGGGUUCGACGGAUAGCCGGCCUGAGAGGGUGACCGGCGUCAAUGGGCCUGAGGGACGGCGCAGACUGCUACGGGAGGCAGUGGGGGGGAGUAUGGCACAGUGGGCGGAAGCCUGAUGCAGAAACGCUGCGUGCGGGAAGACGGCCUUCGGGUUGUAAACCGCUGUCGCCUGUGACGAAGCGUGAGUGACGGUAAUGGGUAAAGAAGCACCGGCUAACUACGUG